rnacentral:rRNA from 1 species
GACGAACGCUGGCGGCGUGCUUAACACAUGCAAGUCGAGCGAUGAAGCACCUUCGGGUGUGAAUUAGCGGCGAACGGGUGAGGAACACGUGAGAAAUCUGCCUUCAACACUGGGAUAACUCCGGGAAACCGGGGCUAAUACCGGAUAUUAAACCUGCGGGCAUCCGCGGGUUUGGAAAGUUUUUCGGUUGAAGAUGAUCUCGCGGCCUAUCAGCUUGUUGGUGGGGUAAUGGCUCACCAAGGCGACGACGGGUAGCCGGCCUGAGAGGGCGACCGGCCACACUGGGACUGAGACACGGCCCAGACUCCUACGGGAGGCAGCAGUGGGGAAUAUUGGGCAAUGGAGGAAACUCUGACCCAGCGACGCCGCGUGCGGGAUGAAGGCCUUCGGGUUGUAAACCGCUUUCAGCAGGGAAGAAGCGAAAGUGACGGUACCUGCAGAAGAAGCACCGGCUAACUAUGUGCCAGCAGCCGCAGUAA